rnacentral:lncRNA from 1 species
AUUUUAAAAUUACAUUGGUUUACUUGUGUACACCAUGGUACACAUGAGAGAACAAUUCGUGAGAACUGGUUUUUCUUUUUUCACCAUCUGGGGCCCUGGGGAUUGAACUCAGGUCUUCAGGCUUGGCCACAGAGCCUCUGUUCACUGAGCUGUCUCACUUGGCCUGCAUAUGCGUGCUGAUGGGUAAAUCGGGUAUGGCAUCCAGCCAUGCAAAGGCCUCGAGGGGGAAGUCAACUUCAGUGUGGCUGGAAAACAGACAUCUUGGCCAGGUUCUGUGACAGAACACAAGUGAUUUUUACACUCAUGGUCUCAGGGUGACUGUGAGUUUGAAAAGCUGAACUUUAGCAAAGUGUACAGUGGCUCUAGGCAUAGGCCAAUGUAAAUGAAUUAUUCUUAAUAAAAUUAUAAACAGUGAAUUAAUCGAGGCUGUAUUUAUUUACCUUAUGCUAAUUCCCAAUAACUUAACAGAGAAACCAAGAUUUACUUAAAACUGCACCUCAAUAGCCGAGCAGUUAAAUGAUGUAUCUUAAGCUUCUAUGCUGAUCUGCCCCUGCCACCCCAACCCAUGAUGCCUGCAUGUUGUUAUUGAUAUGGCUCUCUAGACACCUUCUUCACAGCUCCCAUUUCUCCAUCCCUCUCUUUCCUCUCCCUGGUGGAUGCCCCACCCUCUUCUCUAUUCUGCCCAGCCAUUGGGUGAUCAGCAUUUAUUGACAAGUUAGAGAAUAAAUGAUAAGAACCGUUUGCACAAACUUGAGACAGGAGACAUUGCUGUGUCCAAACUGGAGGAAGACAUGAGGGCAAAGAAAUCAGCGUUUGAAUAACCCAAGGGUAAAAUUUACACAGGCUACAAAACAUUGUGUCCACAGGCCAAUGACUUUCUGGAUAAAGUACUUUUCACCCUGGAGUUGUGGAGAAUGAGCAGAGAGAAGCAUACAAAGGUCAGACACUUCUGCCCGAAUUAUUCUGCACACACACACACACACACACAUACACACACACACACACACACACACACACACACACACACACAUACACACACACACUCACACACUCACACACACUCACACACACACACACACUCACACACACACGCACACACACACACACUCACACACACACUCACACACACACACACACACACACACACGCACACACGCACGAGCUAUUCUGGUGGUGAGAGCUCAUGGUCAAACUCAAGUUCAUGGGGUGUUAAAGUUUAUGAUGAAGGAGAGAAUACACACUACCAGCCCCAACCAGCACUGCCUGCCGCCGAGCUGCCGUAGGCUAACUGAGCUGUGGUUUCCAGGGGCAUGUGGAAACCAGUUCCCAUGCCUCAUGUCAGCUUUUAGGAGCAGGUAAGGAUGGGGAUUUUCUUGAAGAGCUUGAUAAGUCUUGGUGAAGGAUUUAGAUUUCAUUAUUCCCCGAGUAUGCUGGGGAGCCCUGGGGCUUUCAUCGGGAGGGUGGCAUGGAUUGAUCCCUCUGCAAUCAAUAGUGAGACCGGUCUGUCUGGUGGAGGUAAGCCUGUGACGGACGUCUUCAGACCUGGGAUGAGGAGUGGCAUGACACUGUGGAAAGGAAAGAUGACGUAACCCUCAGGAACACUGAGGAAGACUCAAACUCAGGAAGAGUUGCUAAGAGAUGAGGCCACUCCCGCGACUUUGGGGUUUUGAAUUGGGUAAGUAUUUCUGAUGUGUGGGAGAGCGCGAUGCAUGCACUUAGCACCGUCCCGCAUUAACUCCUAAGGUAUAGUAUAGAGGACAAACAUGAAAGAGGAUACAGGAAUGAAGGGGCACCCAGGCCAGCUUGUGUUCCUAUGUCUGGGUCGCAGGGACACUUUGAUGGUUAAUUUUGUCCAGUUGAUAGUAUCUAGGAUCCUUUGGGGAAGAACGUCUUGAUGAGGGAUUAUCACAAGAGUAGCAUGUGUUUGGGGGAAAUAUCUUGGUUACGUUAACUGAUGUCAGAUGACCUGCCAGCAUGGGUGUCAACAUUCCCUAAACAGGAGAGUCUGAACUGUGUGGGUGGAGAAAACUAGCUGAGCCCAGGCACGCAUGUUUAUUCUUGACUGUGGUUGUGACUAGCUAGAUGUCUCAAGUUUUUGUACUUGACUUCCUUGACACGAUGGGCUGUGGCCUGGAAUUGUGAGCUGAAAUAUACCCAGUUCUCCCAUAAAAUUUUUUGCACUUAAAA